UACUUUGAACUUCAUCAGACCUAUUGUUUUUUGUUUUCAGUAGGAUCCAAGUAAGCAGAAAACAGGAGGGUUGGUGAUUGGAGUACCAUGAAACCAUCAGGAAUUGUUUUGUUUUUUUUUUUUCUCUAAAUUGUUAUAGUAAUCUUCUAAAGGAUCUCUCUCCAGUCACUCCUUGAUGUUACUUGCCUAUGCAGGAAAUCAUUUACAUUUGCAAUCUUUCACUUUAAGCAGAAAAUAUUAACCCUUUUUGUGACAUGAACACUUGUGGCACUCUGGAAAACCUAUGUGCUUCUCUUAAAAUGUCUUUAAAUACCUAACAGAAAAUACCCACUAUUACAAAGUAAACUAAUCAUAUUGGGGCACAGUUUAAAACAAAACAUGAAAAACAAAUUUCAGGUAUAAUAAUGGAUAUGAAUCCUUAAUAGUGAACUGAAUAAAAAGAUCUACUCCUUGGUCUACUAGUGCCAUAAUUUAAAUAUAUUGAUUGGCACAAACAAUAUUUUAAGAUAUUUCCAGGUGUGGGCAUUUGGUAUAGCAGUUAGGAUGCUGGUUGAGACGCCCUCAUCCCAUACCAGAGUGCCUGGGUUCUAGUCUUGACUCUGCUCCUAAUUCCAGCCUCCUGCUAAGGCACACUCUAGGUGAUGUCUCAAGUGACUGGGUCCCUGCCAACCAUGAAGGAGACCUGGAUUGAGUUCCCAGAUCCUGGCUUUGACCUGGCCCAGCCCUGGCCAUGGUGGGCAUUUGGUGAUUGAACCAAUAUAUGAGAGGUCUCUCUCCCUCUCUCUCAAAUAAAAUAAAUGAACAAAUAAAAAAUUUUAAACAUUUCUAACCACUGUUAUAGAAUGUGGAAAUAUCUGAGAGUUGUACUGGUGACAAAAUCACAAGUAAUGAUAAUUCAGAUGCAAUGUAUUGCUUACAUUCAUAAAUGAAGGAAAAACAAAGUUCAGUUAAAGGUUGAUGAAAAUAAAUAUGUAACUUUUUUCCUUUCCAAACUCACGAACUCCCUUCAUGGAAACCCAAGUUUUAGAUCUCGGGUUUAAGUGGCUGCCUAUUGCUUCUCUGCCAUGUGAAAUCUGUUCUAUUUUCUCUUACAACAUCUGUCUAUCAGAUCUCAAUCUAGUCCUUUACACUGCUCAUCCCACAUUCCCCCUCAGCACUGAGCUAUUUAAUCCAAAUCAAAUCACAUUUUAACCCUAGAACACAAAAUAUUCAGCAUUGUAUUAAGUGAUCACUCUGACACAAGUUUUAUUGUGCAUUCAAGUACUCGAUUUUGCUAACAUUUCUCAGUCUAUGUGUAGGCAUGAAAAUCCAGUUGUACCCCAACAAAUUCAAAAGAUAUGAAGAUCUACUGAGUUUUAACAGAAUUAUAAACGUAGUCAAAGCAGAAAUUUCAAUUAAUCCAUCUUUGCAUCCUCAGUUUGGGCAUAUAGAAGGAGCUCAAAAGACAUUAUGGAAUGGAAAAACAUUCUUGAAAUAAAGAACGUUAGGCUUGAGUUUGGAUAUGAGAAAGAAUUUCCUGAUACAAUAGGUGUUAAGCAACAUACCACAGAAUCUGUGCAUCUUCUUUCCUGAAUGUUUUAAAAGAAUUCCUAGUUAAAGCCAACUCAGUUCUUGCUGAUCAGAGACUGGAAGACAGAUAAAGGUGCUUUGCGGCUACAGAUGUGUUUAAACAGCACAUGUAGAUGUACAGGGAACCACAGAGAAAGAACUAAAGUAGUCCCACAAUCUAGCAGCACUGUCCUGGGACAUGACAUCAGGGGCAGACUGGAAGUCAAGGUAAGAAUUCAAAUCUUAUGUUCAGCUUUACCUUUCCAGGUAUAAAUAUCAACCAUCAAUUUCACAGGAAGCUGAGCUGUGGCUAUAGCAGAUCUAUGGUUUGCAGUUACCCAGUCUAAGGGGAUUUGGUUGAAUCAGUCUCCUGUGUUGAGAUCAUAUUCUGUUGCAUGCCACCUGCCAUUUCAGAACAAAGAGGAGGGAUCAGCUGCCCACCACCAUAUUUCCACAAGAGCUGAAAGCUCAUCCUCUCCUUGAACUCAGAGAUGAUCUCUUGCACCAUUCUUUAACGAGCAGCAGACUGUGGAAA